AAGUCGUAACAAGGUUUCCGUAGGUGAACCUGCGGAAGGAUCAUUACCAAUAUUAAACAUCUCAACCCAUGUGCACUAUGAUGACUGUCCUGGUUUUUGGGGUGGGCUGUGUAACGACAGUUUCCAGCCCCAACCAAUUUUGUCAACUACUUUUAUUCUUGUCAUGGCAUUAUGUUUGUCUAAAAUAAUUAUGACAACUUUUAACGGUGGAUCUCUUGGCUCGUGGAUC
rnacentral:misc_RNA from 1 species